rnacentral:tRNA from 1 species
GCCUUCGUCGUGUAAUGGUCAGCACACUCGACGCGUAUUCGAGAGAUCCUUAGUUCGAAUCCCUUCGAAGGCA